GACAGAGGGUGCAAACGUUGCUCGGAAUCACUGGGCGUAAAGGGCGUGUAGGCGGGUAGAUAAGUCGGGCGUGAAAUCCCUAGGCUCAACCCUAGGAACUGCACUCGAAACUGUUUAUCUUGAGUGCCGGAGAGGAAAGCGGAAUUCCUGGUGUAGAGGUGAAAUUCGUAGAUAUCAGGAGGAACACCAGUGGCGAAGGCGGCUUUCUGGACGGUAACUGACGCUGAGACGCGGAAAGCGUGGGGAGCAAACAGG
rnacentral:rRNA from 1 species